rnacentral:rRNA from 1 species
UACGUAGGGAGCAAGCGUUGUUCGGAUUUACUGGGCGUAAAGGGCGCGUAGGCGGCAAAUUAAGUCAGCUGUGAAAUCUCCGAGCUUAACUCGGAACUGUCAGCUGAUACUGAUCUGCUAGAGUGCGGAAGGGGCAAUCGGAAUUCUUGGUGUAGCGGUGAAAUGCGUAGAUAUCAGGAGGAACACCGGUGGUGUAGACGGCUUACUGGACCAUAACUGACGCUGAGACACGAAAGCGUGGGUAGCAAACAGG